UACAGAGGUCUCAAGCGUUGUUCGGAUUCAUUGGGCGUAAAGGGUGCGUAGGUGGCGCGGCAAGUCGGGUGUGAAAUUUCGGAGCUUAACUCCGAAACUGCAUUCGAUACUGCCGUGCUUGAGGACUGGAGAGGAGACUGGAAUUUACGGUGUAGCAAUGAAAUGCGUAGAGAUCGUAAGGAAGACCAGUGGCGAAGGCGGGUCUCUGGACAGUUCCUGACACUGAGGCACGAAGGCCAGGGGAGCAAACGGG
rnacentral:rRNA from 1 species